GACGAACGCUGGCGGCGUGCUUAACACAUGCAAGUCGAACGGGCCUUGCCCCCUUUUUUUUUGGGGGUGGGGUUAGUGGCGAACGGGUGAGUAACACGUGAGUAACCUGCCCCUCACUUCUGGAUAACCGCUUGAAAGGGUGGCUAAUACGGGGUGUUCUGGCCUGCUCGCAUGGGUGGGUUUGGAAAGAUUCGACCGGUUUUGGUUGUUUUGGUGGGGGAUGGGCUCGCGGCCUAUCAGCUUGUUGGUGGGGUGAUGGCCUGCCAAGGCUUUGACGGGUAGCCGGCCUGAGAGGGUGGGCGGUCACACUGGGACUGAGACACGGCCCAGACUCCUACGGGAGGCAGCAGUGGGGAAUAGUGCACAAUGGGCGCAAGCCUGAUGCAGCGACGCCGCGUGAGGGAUGGAGGCCUUCGGGUUGUGAACCUCUUUCGCCAGUGAAGAAGGUCCUGCUCUUUGUGGUGGGGUUGACGGUAGCGGGGUUAAUGAAGCGCCGGCUAACUACGUG
rnacentral:rRNA from 1 species